rnacentral:rRNA from 1 species
GGGGAAUAUUGCACAAUGGGCGAAAGCCUGAUGCAGCAACGCCGCGUGAGUGAUGAAGGUUUUCGGAUCGUAAAGCUCUGUUGCCAGGGAAGAACGUCCGUUAGAGUAACUGCUAACGGAGUGACGGUACCUGAGAAGAAAGCCCCGGCUAACUACGUGCCAGCAGCCGCGGUAAUACGUAGGGGGCGAGCGUUGUCCGGAAUUAUUGGGCGUAAAGCGCGCGCAGGCGGCUGUUUAAGUCUGGUGUUUAAUCCUGGGGCUCAACCCCGGGUCGCACUGGAAACUGGACAGCUUGAGUGCAGAAGAGGAGAGUGGAAUUCCACGUGUAGCGGUGAAAUGCGUAGAGAUGUGGAGGAACACCAGUGGCGAAGGCGACUCUCUGGGCUGUAACUGACGCUGAGGCGCGAAAGCGUGGGGAGCAAAC